rnacentral:rRNA from 1 species
GACUCUCGGCAAUAGAUAUCUCAGCUCUCGCAUCGAUGAAGAACGUAGCGAAAUGCGAUACUUUGUGUGAAUUGCAGAAUCCCAUGAACCAUCGAGUCCUUGAAUGCAAGUUGCGCCCGAAGCCAUUAGGCCGAGGGCACGUCACGCAUCGCGUCG